GACGAAGCGGGCUAGCGUUGUUCGGAAUUACUGGGCGUAAAGCGCGUGUAGGCGGUUGUUCAAGUCAGGUGUGAAAGCCUUGAGCUCAACUCAAGAAAUGCACUUGAUACUGGAUGACUAGAGGACCGGAGAGGAUAGUGGAAUUCCCAGUGUAGUGGUGAAAUACGUAGAGAUUGGGAAGAACACCAGUGGCGAAGGCGGCUAUCUGGACGGUUUCUGACGCUAAGACGCGAAAGCGUGGGGAGCAAACAGG
rnacentral:rRNA from 1 species